rnacentral:rRNA from 1 species
UAUGACCUUACCACCCUAAAUACACUGGAUCUUGUCUGAUUUCAGAAGCCAAGCAGGGUCUGGAUGGAAGGUUUUAUGAAGCUUUGAAAAUGUUUGUGACUUCAUAU